GACGAACGCUGGCGGCGUGCUUAACACAUGCAAGUCGAACGGAAAGGCGCUGCUUUUGCGGGGUGCACGAGUGGCGAACGGGUGAGUAACACGCGAGUAAACCGCCCCUGACUUUGGGAUAACAUCAGGAAACAGGGGCUAAUACCGGAUAGGAGCUCCUGCUGCAUGGUGGGGGUAGGAAAGUUUCGGCGGUUGGGGAUGGACUCGCGGCUUAUCAGCUUGCUGGUGGGGUAGUGGCUUACCAAGGCUUUGACGGAUAGCCGGCCUGGGAGGGUGACCGGCCACAUUGGGACUGAGGUACGGCCCAGACUCCUACGGUAGGCAGCGGUGGAGAAUAUUGCACAGUGGGCGGAAGCCUGAUGCAACAACGCCGCGUGCGGGAUGACCGCCUUCGAGUUGUAAACCGCUUUCGACGGUGACGAAGCGUUAUUGACGGUAAUGGGUAAGGAAGCACCGGCUAACUACGUG
rnacentral:rRNA from 1 species